rnacentral:rRNA from 1 species
GCAUUUUUGUAGCCAUAGUAGAGAUGGCGACCGGCGCACGGGUGAGUAACACGUAUCCAACCUGCCGAUAACUCCGGGAUAGCCUUUCGAAAGAAAGAUUAAUACCGGAUAGUAUACGAAUAUCGCAUGAUAUUUUUAUUAAAGAAUUUCGGUUAUCGAUGGGGAUGCGUUCCAUUAGUUUGUUGGCGGGGUAACGGCCCACCAAGACUACGAUGGAUAGGGGUUCUGAGAGGAAGGUCCCCCACAUUGGAACUGAGACACGGUCCAAACUCCUACGGGAGGCAGCAGUGAGGAAUAUUGGUCAAUGGGCGAGAGCCUGAACCAGCCAAGUAGCGUGAAGGAUGAAGGCUCUAUGGGUCGUAAACUUCUUUUAUAUGGGAAUAAAGUUUUCCACGUGUGGAAUUUUGUAUGUACCAUAUGAAUAAGGAUCGGCUAACUCCGUGCCAGCAGCCGCGGUAAUACGGAGGAUCCGAGCGUUAUCCGGAUUUAUUGGGUUUAAAGGGAGCGUAGGUGGAUUGUUAAGUCAGUUGUGAAAGUUUGCGGCUCAACCGUAAAAUUGCAGUUGAAACUGGCAGUCUUGAGUACAGUAGAGGUGGGCGGAAU